GUUCAGUGAUGUCCAAACAAAUGUCUGACCUGAACUAAAAUGUGGACAACAUCUGUUACUGAGUAA